rnacentral:rRNA from 1 species
AGGGCAAGUAGUCGGUUGUUAUAGUCUGAUGUUAAAUCUCAUCGCUCAACGGUGAGGCCGCAUUAGAAACGUAACUUCUAGAGCGAGUCAUGGGCAUGCGGAACGUGUGGUGUAGCUGUGAAAUGCAUUGAUAUCACACGGAACACCAAAAGCGAAGGCAGCAUGCUGUGGCUUUGCUGACGAUCAAUUGCGAAAGCGUGGGGAUCAAAAAGGAUUAGACACCCUUGUAGUCCACGCCCUAAACGUUGCACAUUAGCUAUUGGGAGCAUCGACCCUCCCUGUGGCGCAGCUAACGCGUUAAAUGUGCCACCUGGGAAGUACGAGCGCAAGCUUAAAACUCAAAGGAAUAGGCGGGAGUUCGCACAAGCGGUGGAUCAUGUGGUUCAAUUCGACACUGAGCGAAAAACCUCACCAGGGCUUGAAAUCUAGCUGCACGCCUCCAGAAACGGAGGAAGCCUUCGAGGGUGCUAGACAGGUGCUGCACGGCUAUCGUCAGCUCGUCAUGUGAAUGGUUCCCUUAAGUGGGGAAACGAGCGCAACCCCCGUUGUGUGUUACAAGUGUCACACGAGACUGCCCGGGUUGACCGGGAGGAAGGAGGGGAUGACGUUAAGUCAGCGUGGCCCUUUGAUGCCCUGGGCUACACACAUGAUACAAUGGACGAAACAAUGGGUUGCCAAACCGUGAGGUGGAGCUAAUCCCAUCAAAUACGUCCUCAAUUCGGAUUGGAGGCUGAAACUUGCCUCCAUGAAGCCGGAAUCGCUA